UUUCUCUGCACCCUUGCAUUAUCCCCUGUCCUUCCAAAAAUGAAAAUGUUGGAUGUUGGGGGCUGUAUUACAGGGGAGACUUCAGGAUAGGAGGGGAGAAACCUUUGGCACCCAGGACAUUGAAUCCGGUAGAGCACUUUAGUAGGAUUUGUGUCCUAUGCCUGGGUCCUGGGUCAUCUACCAACCCAGAAUCUUGGGACUUUGCGUCUGUCUGACCCUGUAUUAUUCUGCGAGUCUUUCAUUUUGGCGCUGUACCACUCAGAGCAAAGGAACAAAGAUUCUGCCCGGUGGAAUCCGUGCAUGUCGGUGUAAAGGGGGAUUGCCCCACGGCCCAUGAGAAGGGCGGAAAUGACUGAGGCCCUAGCCCUAACUUGGGCGCAUUAAGGACUCUCUCCACCUAUAUUACUGCUUUUUUAUGUAGGAAAAAAAGGAUAUGACACAGCCUAACAGAAAAAUGGUUGUUAAAGGCGGAGGAUGGGAAGGGGGUAGGAAUGCGUUGGGGAGGAGAAUCGAAGAGAUCCUUUGGUCUUUCUCUCCGCCCAUUUUCCAUACUUCCUCUUCCCCUUUCCCCCAACUCUCUAUUUCCAGUCAUCCCAAAGGGGUGUGGUUUUUGCUGGGAAAAUGGCCGUGGGCUGGAGAUGGAGGGCAUGGGUGGAUGCAAUGCAGGUAGCGGGCUGAUGUCCGCGGGGUCCUGAGAAGUGGGGAAAGGAUGAGAAAACAAAAGGUAAAAUCUGUUUAACUACCAGAACCUUGCAUUUGGAAAAGCUGCUAUUGGGACUCUGAAGUGCUGCACUGUCUGCCCAUCCAUCUGUUUCUGCUGAGUCGCCAGUCUGUCUGUGGGUCUUGCGCCUGAAGGUCUAUCAGACCUGAGAGCAGGAAGAAAAGGAACAUUGUCCAGAAACAAGUUUGUAGAACACUGCACUUCCAGGCAAGAAA